UAGCCCAAUUUAAAAAAAAUAAAACUAAAUGCUGCCCUUUUAUUCACUCUGCUAGGGUUUCUUCAACCUUUUUAGCGCCGCCGAUCACCUGCUCCUUCACCCAAGCCCCGAUUGCGACGGAUAUGGUGGCGGCACGGUGGCUCCGACGAAAAGGUGUGCGACGACUGCAGCAACGUGGGAAUCGACGUGCUGCGAUGGAGGCGCGAUCUGCGAAGCUGGUUGUGGCUUGCGACGGCUAGUGGUUUUCUUCUGCUUAGGGUGUCUGUUAUUUUUUGUUUUUUGGGCUAGGUUUAGUUUGGGCUUAGGUUUAGUUUAUUGGGUUUGUUUAUUUGCUUGGGCCCGGGCAUUAUUGGGCUUGUACAAUGUGUCUUACAAUUACACCUAACAUUGUUGGUGAUUUACUUUAUUAUAUUCUUAAUUAAUAAUUAUGAUAUAUAGUAUGUUUAA